ensembl:lncRNA
UUUCGAUUUAAAAUAAAUGAUGUUCUUCAAAUUUGUAUUCAUUAAAGAAUCCUGAAAAAAUGUAUUAUGGUUUCCACAAAAAUAUUGAGUUGUACAACUGUUUACAACAUUGGUGAUAUUAAGAAAUGUUUCUUGAGCACCAAAUCAGAAUAUUAGAAUGAUUUCUGAAGCAUCAUGUCACACUAAAGUCGAAACUUCAACUUUGCCAUCACAGAAAUAAAUGACAUUUUAAAAUAUAUUAAAUUAGGAAAAGUUAUUGUAAAUUGUAAUAAUAUUUAAAAAUGUUUACUGUCUUUACUGUAUUUUUGGCCAAAUAAACACAAGCUGUCUAUUUUUAUGCAAUCACAUUGUUAGCUUAUAGCAGCAUGAUAACAGCAAACUUCUUUGAAACGUUUGUGAGUCGAGACUCCCAAGGAGCACAAUUUACAUGAAACACUUCUGAUGUUACCUGUGUAGGCAGUAGACAGCAAGGCAGCUCACUAAUUUCUGGAACACAGCCACUCACACACCUCAUAGGCUGUUCUGUGCACCAGUAUUAGGCAUGAUAAAGUAAAAAAUGUAAUUUACACCGUAUUCAGUUUGAACACUCAGUGACUUUCAGCGUGCCGCUUGUUUUCUGCCAGCAUGUGUUGUUGAAUGUGUCUGGUGUCUGUCAGAGGGCAGCUCUUCACCACAUCUGUGCACAUGUGUAUCUUUCAGAUGGUUUGUGGUAAAGGUAGCACUCUUAUAAACCUUAUUACCCAGUUUGGCCGACUCAGUUAACAGCAUUGGGCUCAAAUGUAGAGUGUUUAGGACUUUGAAUUGCUAUUCAUGUCUCAGCCUGGGUCAGAUCACUCACACAUGCACGCUUGAGUUAACUGAACACUGCUGUUGACUGGGGAGGGUUGUUAUGAAUAUGCGGGUGGGUCUUCAUGUAGUAUCAUGGUUGAGCAUGAAAGUCAGCUGCAACCACCAGCUUUGAACUUUUCUACUGCCAGCUAACACUUCCAGCUGUUUAGAUGCAAGUGAACUGGUUUAAAAGAGAUUUCAGAUGAUGUCACUAUAACCUUGAAGUCACACAAGUCUUACAAAUGUAUCAGGGGUCUGAGUCUCUCUCUCUCUCACACACACACACACACACAAACACACUCCUCUUCAGCCUGGUGAUGAAGCAGAUGGUGGUUAUUUUCAUCUCUUGUUGUUUUCUUUCUUUUUUGUUUUGUUUUCUACUCUUCUCUCACAAAAAUAUCAUGUGUUUAUUUUCAGGGAAUUAUGCAUGAAAUUUACCUUAAUUUAAUUAAUUUAUGUCCGCUGAUUUAUUUAUUUAGAAUUAUUUUGGUCAACAGAAAAUUAAAAAUAAAAUAUUUGAAAAAUC